GUCCACGCCCUAACGAUGUCGACUGGUUGUUGGGGUUUGACACUCUCAGUAACGAAGCUAACGCGUGAAGUCGACCGCCUGGGGAGUACGGCCGCAAGGUUAAACUCAAAGGAAUUGACGGGACCCGCACAAGCGGUGGAUUAUGUGGAUUAAUUCGAUGCAACGCGAAACCUUACCUACCCUUGACAUGUCCGAGAGGCUGGAGAAAUCCAGCUGUGCCCGAAAGGGAAUCGGAACACAGGUGCUGCAUGGCUGUCGU
rnacentral:rRNA from 1 species